rnacentral:lncRNA from 1 species
CGAUGGCCCCUGUUCUUCACGUGAAGCCUGCAACUGCAGCAAAAGUGAGAGAGGCUGUCAACUUGAAAGAUGAAACCAGCAUACGCAAUGUCAGACAGGCAGAGAUUCUUCCUCUACCAAUCAACACCUAUGGUGUCACUCUUCUCUUGCUCUCUCCUCAGCUCACUCGGCAGCUUUCCUCGAAAGAAAAACUCUCUCAGAAAUCUUCUUCUUUUGCUCACUCUCACACAGCUCCCUUUGAAGCAGACGUUCUCUCCUCUCUUUCAUCUCAUUGCAGGUUCUUAAUUCUGUCCAUAUCCUCUUCUCUCCAUAUUUCUCUCUUUAUAGACUUCUCCUACAGCGUGAUGCAAAAUUUUAGUCAUUGUAAAAUUCUUAAAUAUGUGUAUUUUUUUUUCUCAAAAUCAUGUAAAAAGGAUUUUUAAUAAAAAAAAAAAGCACGUACAAUUUUUUGAUAAUAUGUGCAAAAAUACGUAGAUUUUAGUGAAAUUAUAUAUAAAAAUUAGGAUAUAUGAAAAAGUAAAUUAUUCACUGGUACACACCUGCAUGUUAAUUAAUGCUUUUAAUGAUUUUCCUAUCAUUUUCUGAAAAAUUCUUGUUUGGAUAUUUCUACAUUCAACUAACUAACUUUAAAUUAUUAAUGUCUCGUAAUUUUUAUUAUUAUUUUUUAUUAUUUUAAAUUUAUUAUUUAUUUUCUUUUAUAUAUAUUAUAAUAAUAUAUAAACAUGACCAUAGGCUGAUUUCGAAACCCAAACUGAUGGUUCAUCAAUUUAAAACUAUUUAAGAUAAUUUUUCUUUUUUAAUCAUUUUGAUCCAGUUAUGAUUUCAUUUUUUUACUGUUUUGAUUUUUGUUUUAAUUAAAUUUAAAUUAUAAAUGGCUAAUCUGAUUUUUACUUUUUAAAAAAAUUAAAAAUAAAAAACUUAAAUAAAAUGUAUAAAAACAAAUAUAAGUCUUAAAUAUUAUUAAAUAUAUUAUUUAUUAAAUAAAUAAAUUAUAAAAUAUACUAUUUAUAUAUAUAUAAAAUAAAAUAAUAUAUCUAUAAUAUAUAAAAUAAAGUAUUAUACGUACGAAAGUAUCGUACAUAUGAAAGUAUCGUACGUACGAAAGUGUUAGAGUCGCUUUUUACGCCAGGCGCCCAUUUAAUUUUUUUUUAGCGCGUAUGUGGACAGAAUUGCUAAGUGAUUGGGUUUGCUACACUUUAUCACAUCAUAUUAUUGGACUGAAUUUUUUUUUAGUGGGAUCUGAACUUAUGGACGACUCAGCACUGAAUUUUUUUUUAAUCGGACCUGGACUUAUGGACAACUCAACCUAUUUUUUAUGUCUGAAUCAGAACUCGAAAUACUGAAUCGGAUGAUUGAGAAAGAUUUCGAAUGCUCUGAAUCACCGUUAUUUUUUUAAAUUUGGCUUUAUUCAGAGUCAUUAAUAUUAUAAUAUAAAAAAAUAGAUAAUAAUUUUAAAAUGAUGCAGCAUGAUUUGUAAAGAGAUGAAUUUAGGUGAAUUUCUUUACCCACGCGUGGAUAAGAGGUGAAAUAUUAGGAUGUGUUUGGCUGCAUUUUUGUUUAAGAUAAUGCAGGAAGCUAAUCUGGCAUCAUUAAUUAAGGCCUGGCCUGAAAGUGAUCACAACUAGUCACUGCUGCAUUCUUCUGACAUUUGCUUAUCCAGUUUGAAGAACAGAAUAAUUAAUGAGAAAGAGAGAGAGAGCCAUACAAAUGUUAUUAUUGACUGGUUCAGGCUGAGUACUAUGUUAUUAAUGAUUACUGUUCAAACUAGAAAUUGGUUGACAGUUUUACUUGUUCCUUGAAAGGAAAUGAUUAUUACAAUCA